rnacentral:rRNA from 1 species
CCUACGGUGAGCAGCAGUGGGGGAUAUUGCACAAUGGGGGAAACCCUGAUGCAGCGACGCCGCGUGGGUGAAGAAGUAUUUCGGUAUGUAAAGCCCUAUCAGCAGGGAAGAAAGAAGACGGUACCUGACUAAGAAGCCCCGGCUAACUACGUGCCAGCAGCCGCGGUAAUACGUAGGGGGCGAGCGUUAUCCGGAUUCACUGGGUGUAAAGGGAGCGUAGACGGCCGUGCAAGCCAGGAGUGAAAGCCCGGGGCCCAACCCCGGGACUGCUCUUGGAACUGUGCGGCUGGAGUGCGGGAGGGGCAGGCGGAAUUCCUGGUGGAGCGGUGAAAUGCGUAGAUAUCAGGAGGAACACCGGCGGCGAAGGCGGCCUGCUGGACCGCGACUGACGUUGAGGCUCGAAAGCGUGGGGAGCGAACAGGAUUAGAUACCCGAGUAGUC